rnacentral:rRNA from 1 species
GAUGAACGCUGGCGGCGUGCUUAACACAUGCAAGUCGAACGAGCCUUGUCGGACGGAUCCCUUCGGGGUGAAGACCGGCGCUGGCGAGUGGCGGACGGGUGAGUAACGCGUGGGGAACCUGCCUCAUUCCGGGGGAUACCAGUCGGAAACGGCUGUUAAUACCGCAUAAGCGCACGGUGUGGCAUCACACAGUGUGAAAAACUCCGGUGGAAUGAGAUGGCCCCGCGUCUGAUUAGGCAGUUGGCGGGGUAACGGCCCACCAAACCAACGAUCAGUAGGCGACCGGAGAGGGUGACCGGCCACAUUGGGGCUAGGACACGGCCCAGACUCCUACGGGAGGCAGCAGUGGGGAAUAUUGCACAAUGGGCGCAAGCCUGAUGCAGCGACGCCGCGUGAGCGAUGAAGUAUUUCGGUAUGUAAAGCUCUAUCAGCAGGGAAGAUAAUGACAGUACCUGACCAAGAAGCCCCGGCUAACUACGUGCCAGCCGCCGCAGUAAAAC